GAAGUUCGGAAUGCGUGUUCGGUGCUGAUGCUGCCCAGCAAUGGGAUGUGCUCGCUCGGAUGCGUGUCCCUUCCCUAUUCCACCCCAUUGUGAACCAAGUGUGCGAGCCGAAGAGAGAUCGGAAGCUCGCAUGCAACCCUUAACAUACCCCAAAUAAGUAUCAGAAUGUACCUUGCGUUAACUCGCACAAAUAUAACUUUCAACAACGGAUCUCUUGGCUCU
rnacentral:misc_RNA from 1 species